AGCAUUGUGCCUGGCACACAGUAAGUAUGCAGUCACUGUUAUUAUUUUAAAAAUUAGCUAACUUCUCUCACGGUGUCCUCCCAAUAUGCACCUUUUGCUCCUAGUGUCCAGAUACCUAGCUUUGUAUCAUUAUUUUUUCUGAUGCCCACUUUUUUUCUUUUUUAAAUGUCUAUAGCAGUUUUAUUUUAUUAUUUAUUUUAGAUUCAGGAGGUACAUGUGCUUGUUUGUCAUAUGGAUAUAUUGCAUACUGGUGGAGAUUGGGCUUCUAGUGUACCUGUAACUCAAAUAGUGAACAUUGUACCUGAUAGACAAAGCCCUGGACUUCCCUGGGUUCCUGGACAUGAUGGCACCUCGACUCAGGCCGAUGCGUCCACCACCUCCCCCGCCGGCUAAAGCCCCGGAUCCUGGCCACCCAGAUCCCCUCACCUGAAGGCCAGGGAAGCCUUGACCCCCAGUGAUGCUGCUGUCCCUAUCUUCAAGCUGUCAGACCACACCAUCAAUGAUCCAGAGCAACACAGCCAAAAGCUGGAAUCGCCCUUAUUUCCACCCUCACCUCCAAGGGUGGAAACUUGCCCCUUCCCAUUUCUAGAGCUGGAACCCACUCCUUUUUUUCCCAUUGUUCUAUCAUCUCUAGGACCGGAACUACCUUCUCUUCUGUCAUGACCCUAUCUAGGGUGGUGAAAUGCCUGAAAUCUCUGGGGCUGGAAACCAUCCAUCAA
rnacentral:lncRNA from 10 species